CGCUCAGAUUUUUUGAAACUGGUAGUUACCAAGAAGUCACUAUAUCAAAUAGCUUUGUCGGGAUUAGUCAAGCAUCAGUAAGCAGGGCUAUAACAAAAGUAUCCAAUGCUCUGAACGAAGCUCCUAUUGAAAAUCGUAUAAUUAAAUAUCAGCAAACAAUUGCAGAUUUGGAAGCAUUAAGGACAAGCUUCUAUGAAAAACGUGGAAUGCCAGGAGUAUGUGGGUGUAUAGAUUGUACCCAUUGCUAUUAUGGUUCCUCAUAACAAUGAUCCUAAUUUUCCGGAGCAUGUUUAUGUAAAUAGGAAAAAUUAUCAUUCCAUAAAAGUGCAAUUCGUGUGUGACUUAAAUCUUAAAAUAUUUAAUGUCAACUUCAAAUUUCCACUGGCGGCUAAACGUAGGAAUACGAUCCCUUUAAUGCGCAUGCGCGGACUCUAAGCGAUCAGAUGUUUAUUUUCAGAUUUGCUGUUUUGUUGAUUGAGGUUAGCAUUUUCCUUAAUUCGUGUGUAAAGGCUACAGGGUGUUCGAAAUUCUUUCAUACGUUACUCCAGAAAAAUGAAUAUGGAUUGUUUAUGCCGCAAUUAAGUUUUCGAAAUUUGAAUUUUGGACGAAAUCCAGGCACAAGCCAGUAUAAUAACAUUUAUCAAUAAUAUGAAAGUACUAGGAACUCGCAUGCUUAAUAGGAACUUUGGAAUUUGAUAUUGCCUUUGCACGCCUUAGCUGGGAAGGCCGAAUUGCAGAAGAAACAGGCACCAAUUUUGGAAGGUCGAUAGGUUUAAUAUAAAUACAUAAUAACAGAGCCAAGUACUUGUCUCUGCAUAAUAAUAGAUUUCAAAUACCGACAUUGUUAAAUACGAAAUAUGAACAUGAACGGCAUAGAUUAAGAGUGAGAUAGAUAGCGCCUACUCCACUGUUAAUCACCCAGCUGAUCAGCAGCUAAAAUCUGCAGUUAACGCAUGCGCAUCAAUGGGAUCGUAUUCCUACGUUUAGCCGCCAGUCAAAUUUCCAGGCUCAUGUCGUGACUGUCAUAUAUGAAGGCAAGCUCCUGUGUCAGAUUUAAUGGAAACCGUACAAAGGAGAAAUCCUAAGAAUAUGUUCUUUCUCUUGGGCGACUCAAGUUAUCCAACUCGUCUCUGGUUAUUAACGCCUAUUAAUAAUGCUUGCUCAUUCAUGAACUUGGACGAAGCACGGUUUAAUGACAGACUAUGCUCUAUUCGCUCUGUAAUUGAGAGGCGUAAUGGGGUGCUGAAGAAUCGCUUUUGAUGUCUUCUGCGUUAUCGCACUCUUCAUUACAGUCCCUCAAUGGCAAUCAAAAUACAAACGCUUGUUGCACUUUGCACAAUUUAUGCAUUGCGAAUAGAGAACCUGAGGUUGAAGAGUUACACCCCGUGGAACCGGAUUAUGGCAUGUAUGCUGAUAAUUAGUUCAAUUUUGUAAGACCUACUGCCAACAUAGAUCUAGCUGCUGCUAGAGCGCUACAGCAAAAUAUUAUAAAUACUCAUUUAAUUAGGUACUAAAAUAAGUUUGGGUGCGGAUAAAACUGAAUAAAAUUAAUAAACAAGUUGUGUAUUAUAGCGCGUUAUUUCGUAUUUGAACAGAGGCCACAAUCUGUUCAAAUACGAAAUUACACACUAUAAUACGAAAUUUGUUAAUUCAGUUAUAUAAUUAAUGUUGAUAUUAAUAUGUAAUUUCUAGGUAUUGAUACAUUCGGUAAGCUUAACAUCUUCACAAGAUGUGUAAUGCCUUGGUGGGAGCUGCUCAUUAAAUGUCUGCUGAUCAGCGCUUCGUAUCAAAUCAAUUUCUACAUCCGUGUUGUUCAAAUUGUAUCGGCGAAGCGCAAGAUAUUUGACGGAUGUAUUGCAUUUUCGAAGAUAAAAAGUUGGUUGGAUGUCCAGUAAUGUUAUGGUUUAUUGACUUCCGUUUUAGAGUUGUACCUAAUAUAUUUACAUUGUAAAAUUUUUGUUUAACAAAUAAUUAUUAUACUUUCAUAAAACCUAGCUAAGUUUUACUACUUUCAGUUUUAUUU
rnacentral:lncRNA from 1 species